UACGUAGGGUGCAGGCGUUGUCCGGAAUUAUUGGGCGUAAAGAGCUCGUAGGCGGUUUGUCGCGUCUGCUGUGAAAACUCGGGGCUUAACCCCGGGCCUGCAGUGGGUACGGGCAGACUAGAGUGCGGUAGGGGAGACUGGAAUUCCUGGUGUAGCGGUGAAAUGCGCAGAUAUCAGGAGGAACACCGGUGGCGAAGGCGGGUCUCUGGGUCGUAACUGACGCUGAGGAGCGAAAGCGUGGGGAGCGAACAGG
rnacentral:rRNA from 1 species